GCCCUUCGGGGUACUCGAGUGGCGAACGGGUGAGUAACACGUGGGUGAUCUGCCCUGCACUUUGGGAUAAGCCUGGGAAACUGGGUCUAAUACCGAAUAGGACCAUGGGAUGCAUGUUCUGUGGUGGAAAGCUUUUGCGGUGUGGGAUGGGCCCGCGGCCUAUCAGCUUGUUGGUGGGGUGAUGGCCUACCAAGGCGACGACGGGUAGCCGGCCUGAGAGGGUGUCCGGCCACACUGGGACUGAGAUACGGCCCAGACUCCUACGGGAGGCAGCAGUGGGGAAUAUUGCACAAUGGGCGCAAGCCUGAUGCAGCGACGCCGCGUGGGGGAUGACGGCCUUCGGGUUGUAAACCUCUUUCAGUAUCGGCGAAGCUUGCGGGUUUUCUCGCAGGUGACGGUAGGUACAGAAGAAGCACCGGCCAACUACGUGCCAGCAGCCGCGGUAAUACGUAGGGUGCGAGCGUUGUCCGGAAUUACUGGGCGUAAAGAGCUCGUAGGUGGUUUGUCGCGUUGUCCGUGAAAACUCACAGCUCAACUGUGGGCGUGCGGGCGAUACGGGCAGACUAGAGUACUGUAGGGGAGACUGGAAUUCCUGGUGUAGCGGUGGAAUGCGCAGAUAUCAGGAGGAACACCGGUGGCGAAGGCGGGUCUCUGGGCAGUAACUGACGCUGAGGAGCGAAAGCGUGGGGAGCGAACAGGAUUAGAUACCCUGGUAGUCCACGCCGUAAACGGUGGGUACUAGGUGUGGGUUUCCUUCCUUUAGGGAUCCGUGCCGUAGCUAACGCAUUAAGUACCCCGCCUGGGGAGUACGGCCGCAAGGCUAAAACUCAAAGGAAUUGACGGGGGCCCGCACAAGCGGCGGAGCAUGUGGAUUAAUUCGAUGCAACGCGAAGAAC
rnacentral:rRNA from 1 species